rnacentral:rRNA from 1 species
ACUCCUACGGGAGGCAGCAGUGGGAAUAUUGCACAAUGGGGGAAACCCUGAUGCAGCCAUGCCGCGUGUGUGAAGAAGGCCUUGGGUUGUAAAGCACUUUCAGUAGGGAGGAAGGUAGUGUAGUUAACACCUGCACUAUUUGACGUUACCUACAGAAGAAGCACCGGCUAACUCCGUGCCAGCAGCCGCGGUAAUACGGAGGGUGCGAGCGUUAAUCGGAAUUACUGGGCGUAAAGCGCAUGCAGGCGGCCUGUUAAGUCAGAUGUGAAAGCCCGGGGCUUAACCUCGGAAUUGCAUUUGAAACUGGCAGGCUAGAGUCUUGUAGAGGGGUAGAAUUUGAGGUGUAGCGGUGAAAUGCGUAGAGAUCUGAAGGAAUACCAGUGGCGAAGGCGGCCCCCUGGACAAAAGCUGACGCUCAGAUGCGAAAGCGUGGGAGCAAACAGGAUUAGAUACCCCGU